AUCCUUCGGUUCGUGAGCAUGAUGACUAGGUGUUCAUGCUUUAUGCAUGAAAUAUACCUCCCUAAAACCUUGUUACGACGUGGGCACAUUACCCAUCUGACG